rnacentral:rRNA from 1 species
AAUAGCGUAUAUUAAAGUUGUUGCGGUUAAAAAGCUCGUAGUUGGAUCUGUGUCCCGCGCCGUCGGUUCACCGCCUGUCGGUGUUAAACUUUGGCGUGUAAUUGCGGGACGUCCUGUCGGUGGCGGAACGGGGCUUCGUCAAACCGUAGGGGCGUCCAGGUCUCCUGCGACACCCUGAAGGCUGGCGUAUGCUUCCGGCCGCCUUGUCAAUCCCGCCGCGGUGCUCUUCACCGAGUGUCGAGGCGGGCCGGCACGUUUACUUUGAACAAAUUAGAGUGCUUUAAGCAGGCUCUUUCCCGCCUGUAUAUUGUGUGCAUGGAAUAAUGGAAUAGGACCUCGGUUCUAUUUUGUUGGUUUCCGGAAUCUGAGGUAAUGAUCAAUGGGGACAGGCGGGGGCAUUCGUAUUGCGACGUUAGAGGUGAAAUUCUUGGAUCGUCGCAAGACGGACCGAAGCGAAAGCAUUUGCCAAGUAUGUUCUCGUCGAUCAAGAACGAAAGUUAGAGGUUCGAAGGCGAUCAGAUACCGCCCUAGUUCUAACCAUAAACUAUGCCUGCCAGCGAUCCGCCGGCGUUCCUCCGAUGACCCGGCGGGCAGCUUCCGGGAAACCAGAGCUUUUGGGUUCCGGGGGAAGUAUGGUUGCAAAGCUGAAACUUAAAGGAAUUGACGGAAGGGCACCACCAGGAGUGGAGCCUGCGGCUUAAUUUGGACUCAAACACGGGAGAACACUCACCAGGCCCGGACACUCGGAAGGAUUGACAGAUUGAGAGCUCUUUCUUGAUUCGGUGGGUGGUGGUGCAUGGCCGUUCUUAGUUGGUGGAGCGAUUUGUCUGGUUAAUUCCGAUAACGAACGAGACUCUAGCCUACUAACUAGACGUUUCCGGUAUCCACAAUCGUGCUACCGGCGAGUAAAUUUCUUCUUAGAGGGACAGGCGGCUUCUAGCCGCACGAGACUGAGCAAUAACAGGUCUGUGAUGCCCUUAGAUGUCCUGGGCCGCACGCGCGCUACACUGAAGGAAUCAGCGUGUCUUCCCUGUCCGAAAGGACCGGGUAACCCGCUGAACCUCCUUCGUGCUAGGGAUUGGGGCUUGCAAUUGUUCCCCAUGAACGAGGAAUUCCCAGUAAGCGCGAGUCAUAAGCUCGCGUUGAUUACGUCCCUGCCCUUUGUACACACCGCCCGUCGCUACUACCGAUUGAAUGAUUUAGUGAGGUCUUCGGACUGGUGCGCGGAGGUGGCUUCUGUUGCUUCCGAUGUUGUCGGAAAGAUGACCAAACUUGAUCAUUUAGAGGAAGUAAAAGUCGUAACAAGGUUCCGA